CCCGAACGCGGGACUGCGGCCACGCUCUGCGCCGGCUGGCGGUUCUUCUCCGCGACAUUAAAGAUACGACAAAAGCGGCGUGUGUUGGCUCCUCCUCCGCUGCGCCUUUCCCAGCCCGGCAUACCGGGAGUUCAGGCUGGGAGAAGAGUGACUGGAAAGCUGCCUGGGGAAAAUCAGCCUGGGGCUGCUGCUUGAGGGUAGCUGAACAUGAGCGAGCAGCGGACCCAGGUAGCCAAGAAGCCCAAUGGCAUCGUGGCCUCUGCCAGCAAGAGUGGGGCCAGCAGGACCACGGCAGUGAUUGUCCCUCUGCUCAGCACUGGAAGAGUGCCGGGCUGAGGGACGAGUGCAGAGCUGUCACAUCAUGGCUGAGGUGUUCGCUGACGUUUCCACUUCAUGCCUGAGUUUUCACCCAGUAUUUGAUUCCUAUUCUUUCAGAGAAGAUCCUCAUUCCAUUGCAAAGAAUCAUUAUUAAAUGUAACUCAGUUUAAAACUCUGCUUCGAUUUGUGCCAGCAUUUGUUCCCUUUUGCAAUAGAAGGAAUUCCUGAUCCGCUGUCCUGCCGGUAAAGCCAAGUUUUUCGUG